GGUAUGUAAAAAUCGGAGUUCGUAUACGAAAGUUAUGGCCAAAAUACUAAAGUUACUGUUCAUAGUAAGUUUCUAUAAAUAGCCGAGUUACUCUCCCCGAUUCUCUCUUCCUCUCCGACCUCUUCACCUUCUUCCGGCCAUAACUCCUCCAUCCGGCGACGGAUUUUGAAGUGUAAGAUGUCGUUGGAAAGCUCUCUUCCUUCUCUUCAUUUCUGGGUUCGUUUCGUAGCUUAAUAUGAACUGUGGAAGGUGCAGCAACGAGAAGAAGAGGACGGUCACUGUAGCAGUUUUGAGUCAACGCCGAUAUUUUCCGAUUCCGGCAGUCUCCGGCCACAAAAUUGGCGUCGAAGGGUUCUUGGAAUUUCUGGAAAAUUUUCACCGGCCAAAUUGGAGCUCUUCCAGGGCAAUGCCGCGAGCUACGGUUAAAUGAAGGAACUCGUUUGCGUGGUCGCCCAAUAGUACUUUUGCAGGCGAAAUUAGUUGAGGUCGGGCGUACAUGGAGUCGAGGCAUAGCCAACAGCAUUGCUUCCGCGUACUCAUUCUAUUUCUGUUUUCUUUGUUACCUAGUGGAUUAGUAUUGCUCUGAUAACCUAUGGGAUUAAUAUUGUUUUUGGGUUGAGACUGAUAUUUGUGAAAUUGGAGUUGUGAUUUGGGGAGCAGAUGGCUCCAGAA